GUCGAACGAGACCUUCGGGUCUAGUGGCGCACGGGUGCGUAACGCGUGGGAAUCUACCCUUUGCUACGGAAUAACUCAGAGAAAUUUGUGCUAAUACCGUAUAAUGUCACAAGACCAAAGAUUUAUCGGCAGAGGACGAGCCCGCGUAAGAUUAGCUAGUUGGUGGGGUAAAGGCUCACCAAGGCGACGAUCUUUAGCUGGUCUGAGAGGAUGAUCAGCCACACUGGGACUGAGACACGGCCCAGACUCCUACGGGAGGCAGCAGUGGGGAAUAUUGGACAAUGGGCGAAAGCCUGAUCCAGCAAUGCCGCGUGAGUGAUGAAGGCCUUAGGGUUGUAAAGCUCUUUUACCAGGGAUGAUAAUGACAGUACCUGGAGAAUAAGCUCCGGCUAACUCCGUGCCAGCAGCCGCGGUAAUACGGAGGGAGCUAGCGUNGUUCGGAAUUACUGGGCGUAAAGCGUGCGUAGGCGGUUAUACAAGUCAGAGGUGAAAGCCUGGAGCUCAACUCCAGAACUGCCUUUGAAACUAGAUAACUAGAAUC
rnacentral:rRNA from 1 species